UCCUUCUGACCAGAAGUGUAGGGAGCAUUCUUCCCAGUAACCAUCACACUAAUGUAUGGUGAGCUGUAGAUAUAGUAUUUAUUAGCAGAGGUUCCUUGAGGCUAAAAAGUUAUUUCAAGGGUUCCUC